rnacentral:rRNA from 1 species
CAGUAGCCGCGGGAAUACAGAGGGUGCGAGCGUUAAUCGGAUUUACUGGGCGUAAAGCGUGCGUAGGCGGCUUCUUAAGUCGGAUGUGAAAUCCCUGAGCUUAACUUAGGAAUUGCAUUCGAUACUGGGAAGCUAGAGUAUGGGAGAGGAUGGUAGAAUUCCAGGUGUAGCGGUGAAAUGCGUAGAGAUCUGGAGGAAUACCGAUGGCGAAGGCAGCCAUCUGGCCUAAUACUGACGCUGAGGUACGAAAGCGUGGGGAGCAAACAGGAUUAGAUACCCCAGUAGUCCCUGUCUCUUAUAC